CAAUAGCGUAUAUUAAAGUUGUUGCAGUUAAAAAGCUCGUAGUUGGACUUCUGCGGGUGGCGGCCGGUCGUGCUCGAAACGGGCGUGAACUUGGCGUGCUGCCCGCAUCUUUGGGGGGAUUGUGCGUGGCAUUAAGUUGUCGUGCAUGGGAUUCUCAUCAUUUACUGUGAAAAAAUUAGAGUGUUUAAAGCAGGCCUUUGCCUUGAAUACAUUAGCAUGGAAUAAUAAGAUAGGACCGUUGUCUAUUUUGUUGGUUUACAGAUGUCGGUAAUGAUUAAUAGGGAUAGUUGGGGGUAUUCGUAUUCAGUUGUCAGAGGUGAAAUUCUUGGAUUUUCGGAAGACGCACGACUGCGAAAGCAUUUACCAAGGAUGUUUUCAUUA
rnacentral:rRNA from 1 species